UAGUAAAAAAAUUAUCUAUUUUUACUAUUAAAAACUGACAUUGCUAAUAGAAUAACUAGAUAGUUACAUGUGGUGUGCCAUUUGCACCUCAUUCUGAUGUACAAUGAUCAAUUUUUAACAGUAGAAAUAAAUAAAAUAUUUUAUUU
rfam:Gossypium arboreum cultivar AKA8401 contig_6120_13, whole genome shotgun sequence.